UACGUAGGGGGCAAGCGUUGUCCGGAUUUAUUGGGCGUAAAGAGCGUGUAGGCGGCCAAGCAGGUCCGCUGUGAAAACUCGAGGCUCAACCUCGAGACGUCGGUGGAAACCGUUUGGCUAGAGUCCGGAAGAGGAGAGUGGAAUUCCCGGUGUAGCGGUGAAAUGCGCAGAUAUCGGGAAGAACACCCGUGGCGAAGGCGACUACCUGGCCUGUUCUUGACGCUGAGGCGCGAAAGCUAGGGGAGCAAACGGG
rnacentral:rRNA from 1 species